AGAAUGAUAUUGAGCCAAAGAUGACUUGCCGAUUUUACCAACAAACCUAAAAUUGAUAUUGGCUACCGGCAAGUCGAUUUUGGCUCUGUUUCCUUCUCU
rfam:Brassica napus, WGS project CCCW01000000 data, contig: 12460